GACGAACGCUGGCGGCGUGCUUAACACAUGCAAGUCGAACGGACCGAGUUGAUAGCUUGCUAUUGAUGAGGUUAGUGGCAAACGGGUGAGUAACGCGUAGGCAACCUGCCCUUCAGAUGGGGACAACACCUCGAAAGGGGUGCUAAUACCGAAUGACGUUUCCUGGUCGCAUGACCUGGAAACCAAGGCUGGGCAACCGGUCACUGAAGGAUGGGCCUGCGUCUGAUUAGCUGGUUGGUGGGGUAACGGCCACCAAGGCGACGAUCAGUAGCCGGUCUGAGAGGAUGAACGGCCACAUUGGGACUGAGACACGGCCC
rnacentral:rRNA from 1 species